rnacentral:lncRNA from 10 species
GACGAAGCUGUGAGCCAAGUGAGGCCGGCAGCCAGCAGAAACUGGAGGGGCAAGAAAGUGGAUUCCCUCCUGGAGCCGCCGCAGGAAGCGUGGCCUCACCGAUGCCUUCAUUUUGGCCCAGCAGAAUUGCUUUCAGCCUUCUGGCUUCUAGAACUAUGAGAGAAUACAUUUCUGUCAUAAGCCAUUAAUUUUGUAAUUUGUAACAACAGCCUCAGGAAACGAAGACAGGUAGGCCCAAUGAGCACCUCCCCAUUUUACAGAAAAAGAAACUGAGGCCCUUCCAGUGAGUGGUAGGGUGGGCUGAUGUUGGAGCCCAGGCUUUAGCCCUUUUGUCUUCUAUCUUCUAUCUCAGCCUUAAUGGAAAACAAGACCCUGCAUCGCCAGCCGUGAGGGGCUGCGGGAAGCUGUACGAUGAUCUGUCUUCUCAUUUAGUGGGGCAGGGAUGAGGUGCUUGAUUGUCUCCUAGUAGAGAAUGCAGAAGAGCUGAUCUUUAUGUAAAUUCCCUUAUGCAAAUAUCCCUGAGGGAGUUUGCUUACCGAAGUCAGUUCCUUCACACUGUAGAGCAGAUUACUUGAGAACAAGAAAGUCGGUUAGGUACCCGUCAGGGGGUUUGAGGUAGAAAGAAGGGGGCCCCUGAGAGGGGGACAGGAGGAAGACCAUCAAAGACAGAUUUUAAGUUAAGCUGAGGGAUGCUGCAGGAGAGAAUCUCAAAGGUUAACACAACAGGAGUUCAUGGACUAC